UUACAGCCAUAUCACGUUGAAACACCAAUUCUCAUAAGAUCACUGAAGUUAAGCAACGUUGAGGCUGAUAAGUACCUCAAUGGGUGACCAAUUGGGAAUACCAGGUUCUGUAAG